GUGGCAGACGGGUGAGUAACGCGUGGGAAUCUACCCAACUCUACGGAAUAACUCAGGGAAACUUGUGCUAAUACCGUAUACGCCCUUCGGGGGAAAGAUUUAUCGGAGUUGGAUGAGCCCGCGUUGGAUUAGCUAGUUGGUGGGGUAAAGGCCUACCAAGGCGACGAUCCAUAGCUGGUCUGAGAGGAUGAUCAGCCACAUUGGGACUGAGACACGGCCCAAACUCCUACGGGAGGCAGCAGUGGGGAAUAUUGGACAAUGGGCGCAAGCCUGAUCCAGCCAUGCCGCGUGAGUGAUGAAGGCCCUAGGGUUGUAAAGCUCUUUCACCGGUGAAGAUAAUGACGGUAACCGGAGAAGAAGCCCCGGCUAACUUCGUGCCAGCAGCCGCGGUAAUACGAAGGGGGCUAGCGUUGUUCGGAAUUACUGGGCGUAAAGCGCACGUAGGCGGGUAUUUAAGUCAGGGGUGAAAUCCCAGAGCUCAACUCUGGAACUGCCUUUGAUACUGGGUACCUAGAGUAUGGAAGAGGUGAGUGGAAUUCCGAGUGUAGAGGUGAAAUUCGUAGAUAUUCGGAGGAACACCAGUGGCGAAGGCGGCU
rnacentral:rRNA from 1 species